AUUGAACGCUGGCGGCAGGCCUAACACAUGCAAGUCGAGCGAGCGGCGGACGGGUGAGUAAUGUAUGGGGACUGCCCGAUAGAGGGGGAUAACUACUGGAAACGGUGGCUAAUACCGCAUACUAUCGGAUAACCCAUAUGGGAGUAGCUAGUAGGUGGGGUAAAGGCUUACCUAGGCGACGAUCUCUAGCUGGUCUGAGAGGAGGAUCAGCCACACUGGAACUGAGACACGGCCCAGACUCCUACGGAGGCAGCAGUAGGGAAUAUUGCGCAAUGGGCGAAAGCCUGACGCAGCCAUGCCGCGUGAAUGAAGAAGGCCUUAGGAUUGUAAAGUACUUUCAGCAGGGAGGCGUUACCCGAAGAAGAAGCACCGGCUAACUCCGUGCCAGCAGCCGCGGUAAUUC
rnacentral:rRNA from 1 species